UUUUGGACAAUGGGGGCAACCCUGAUCCAGCAAUGCCGCGUGAGUGAAGAAGGCCUUCGGGUUGUAAAGCUCUUUUGUCAGGGAAGAAACACCGGCUCUAACACAGUCCGGGAAUGACGGUACCUGAAGAAUAAGCACCGGCUAACUACGUGCCAGCAGCCGCGGUAAUACGUAGGGUGCAAGCGUUAAUCGGAAUUACUGGGCGUAAAGCGUGCGCAGGCGGUUAUACAAGACAGGCGUGAAAUCCCCGGGCUUAACCUGGGAAUGGUGCCUGUGACUGUAUAGCUAGAGUGUGUCAGAGGGGGGUAGAAUUCCACGUGUAGCAGUGAAGUGCGUAGAUAUGUGGAGGAAUACCAAUGGCGAAGGCAGCCCCCUGGGAUAACACUGACGCUCAUGCACGAA
rnacentral:rRNA from 1 species